GGUGCGCAUGCUCAGUGCAGCCAAAGUAGCAAAUCUGGAGCGGUUCAUGUUUCUGUAGUUACAGCGGCGGAGAGGCACCGAUCGCGGGGCUACCGAGGGGGCGGAAGAGCGGGGCGCUGCGCUGCGCCCCCUUCCUGGCGCUGGGGGGACGGUGGAGGAGCCCAGCGGCUGCGAGGUCCCGGAGACGGGGACCCCCGGAGGAAGAUUGCCGAGAAACGCCCCCGAACCUCCCCCCCGCUCCGUGGAAUUGCGGGGUCCCCCCCUACCCCGCAGCAGCCCCGCGUGUGCGCGGGCAGGGCUGGCGGGGCUGAUCUCGCUUGCACGCUGGCUCCCCAGCAUGCCCGGACUGCCUGUCACGCGUGGAUCUAGCCAGAGACACCCCGUCGCCGCGCUGGAGCGGACUGGGCGCCCGGCGGAGACCUCCUGAGAGCCGGGGGUGCUUGGGGGGGGUCGGGGUUAUUCGGAGGGGGGAGCCGGCUUGGACUAUUUUUCUCCCCCUUCCUCUGUUGUAUUUUUGUGUGGGGGGAGGGGAUCCGUUUGGAGAAGCAUCCAGCGGGGAGGAAAACAAGCCACCCGAGGACACCCCCCCUCCCCCGCCCCUGCACACUGCAGGGCAGAGGAUCCGGAGCGAUCCGCGCCAGGUUGAAGCCGACCCCCGAAUCCAGCCCGAGCUCGGCAGACGCUGCCCGCCGGUCUCCAUCGCUCGCUCCGAUCUCCUAACACCUUGUGGGGGGAGGGCGUGGGGGGGGGGGGCAAGGAAAGCGAAAUGGCUCGAGCCGGAGUGGAAUAGGACCAGCUGAAUGGAGCAGCCCGCUGGAAGGAGACCGGAGGCUGGAUCGCUAAAGGCUUGCUGACUGCCGGAUCGUCCCUCCUGUGUGAUGCCGGGAGAGGCCCCGGGCUCGGGCCGGUGAGAGCCGUGCCAGGGAGCGAGCGUGCCAAUCGCCCGGCCGGCACCAUGGCCCGCCUCGCCCACGCCCUCUGGAGCCUCUGCGUCACCGCCAUCCUCGUCACCUCAGCCACACAAGGCAUGUGCAGAUAAACCCUGAAAUGGCAGAUGCCCCAGAGGUGGACCCUGCCCUCGGAACAGUGGGAGAAAGCGAGCUUGUCCCAAUUGACUGCCUUGAUUAUGAGGAGAACAGCACCAUCAU